UGGGGAAUAUUGCACAAUGGGGGAAACCCUGAUGCAGCGACGCCGCGUGAGCGAAGAAGGUUUUCGAAUCGUAAAGCUCUGUCCUAUGAGAAGAUAAUGACGGUAUCAUAGGAGGAAGCCCCGGCUAAAUACGUGCCAGCAGCCGCGGUAAUACGUAUGGGGCGAGCGUUGUCCGGAAUUAUUGGGCGUAAAGGGUACGUAGGUGGUUUUUUAAGUCAGGUGUCAAAGCGUGGAGCUUAACUCCAUUAAGCACUUGAAACUGAAAGACUUGAGUGAAGGAGAGGAAAGUGGAAUUCCUAGUGUAGCGGUGAAAUGCGUAGAGAUUAGGAAGAACACCGGUGGCGAAGGCGACUUUCUGGACGACAACUGACGCUUAGGCGCGAAAGCGUGGGGAGCAAACAGG
rnacentral:rRNA from 1 species